CGCGACGUGGAUGGAACAGCAGACACGACGGGCUUAAACCCCGUUGGACCUCCGGGUCCGUGCCGGUGCAACCCCGGCCGUCGCGACCA
rnacentral:tRNA from 1 species